rnacentral:lncRNA from 1 species
GUUUUGUUUUCAAAUUCGUCAAAAUCAAAUCCCCCUUUACUUUAAAGUGUUUUAUUAGUCAAAAUAUGUUUUGAUUUGUGUUUUUAAGUGUCUUGAGUCAAGUUAGAACCUAAUUUCAUCCAAAACCAUCCCUAGAGUCAGUUUAGAGUCUAAUUCAUUGUUUUAAGCUGUUUUGAGUCUUUUAAACGAGUUUUGAGUCUUUUUAGUUUGUAUUGC